GAUAAACGCUGGCGGCGCACAUAAGACAUGCAAGUCGAACGAGAAGUUACCUUCGGGUAAUGGAAAGUGGCGGACGGGUGAGUAAUGUGUAGAGAAUCUGCCCUAGAGAGGGGGACAACCAUUGGAAACGACAGCUAAUACCCCAUAUGAGCGUAACUGAAAUGUUAUUCUUGAAAACUCCGGUGCUCUGGGAUGAGUCUGCAUCUGAUUAGCUAGUUGGGGGUGUAAUGGACCACCAAGGCGACGAUCAGUAGCUGGUUUGAGAGGAUGAUCAGCCACAAUGGGACUGAGACACGGCCCAUACUCC
rnacentral:rRNA from 1 species